CCCUUAGAUGUUCUGGACCGCACGCGCGCUACACUGAGCCCUUCAUCGAGUUUACAACCUUGGCCGGUAGGUCUGGGUAAUCUUCUCAAAGGGGCUCGUGCUGGGGAUAGAUUAUUGUAAUUUUUAAUCUUCAACGAGGAAUUCCUAGUAAACGCAAGUCAGCAGCUUGCAUUGAUUACGUCCCUGCCCUUUGUACACACCGCCCGUCGCUACUACCGAUUGAAUGGCUUAGUGAGCCCGAGGGACUGUUGCACCUAGAGGGUUUUCUCUCCAGGAGCAGCCGGGAACUCGGUCAAACUUGAUCAUUUAGAGGAAGUAAAAGUCGUAACA
rnacentral:rRNA from 1 species